UGGGGAAUAUUGGACAAUGGGCGAAAGCCUGAUCCAGCCAUGCCGCGUGUGUGAAGAAGGUCUUCGGAUUGUAAAGCACUUUAAGUUGGGAGGAAGGGCAUUAACCUAAUACGUUAGUGUUUUGACGUUACCGACAGAAUAAGCACCGGCUAACUCUGUGCCAGCAGCCGCGGUAAUACAGAGGGUGCAAGCGUUAAUCGGAAUUACUGGGCGUAAAGCGCGCGUAGGUGGUUUGUUAAGUUGGAUGUGAAAUCCCCGGGCUCAACCUGGGAACUGCAUUCAAAACUGACUGACUAGAGUAUGGUAGAGGGUGGUGGAAUUUCCUGUGUAGCGGUGAAAUGCGUAGAUAUAGGAAGGAACACCAGUGGCGAAG
rnacentral:rRNA from 1 species